AUUGAACGCUGGCGGCAUGCCUAACACAUGCAAGUCGAACGGUGCAGCAAUGCCUAGUGGCGGACGGGUGAGGAAUAGGUAGGAAUUUGCCCUUAAGUGGGGGAUAACCAGGGGAAACGCUGACUAAUACCGCAUGAUACCUUCGGAGCACAGAGGGGGACCGGAAGGCCUCUCGCUUCUGGAUGAGCCUGCGUCUCAUGAGUGAUUUGGCAGGUUGGGAGGGCAAAGGCCUACCAAGGCGACGAGCAGUAGCUGGUCUGAGAGUAUGAUCAGUCACACCGGAACUGAGCAACGGUCCGGACUCCUACGGGAGGCAGCAGUGGGGAAUAUUGGAAAAUGGGCGCAAGCCUGAUCCAGCAAUGCCGCGUGUGUGAAGAAGGCCUUCGGGUUGUAAAGCACUUUAGCCUGGAAAGAAAAAACUUUGGUUAACACCCAAAGUCUUGACGGUACCAGGAGAAUAAGCACCGGCUAACUCUGUGCCAGCCGCCGCAGUAAUAC
rnacentral:rRNA from 1 species